rnacentral:lncRNA from 1 species
UUUGGCAUGGACCGUGGUAUUGGGGGUGCCAUCGGAGGCCGUGAUUUUGAUGUCUGGGGGAUUUACUGUGUAUCGGUUGACUUGUGCUGGAUUUGGCUUCGGUCCGGGUUCUUUUUUGGAGGGGUGUUCUGCUGGGUUGCUAGCCUUGUGAUUGUUUUGCCAGAGGACGGGGGUAUCGUCAAUGUGUCUGGAGUGGGGCAGGAACUCAUUAACUAGAUAACUCAUUAACUAGCUCUUGCAUGAAAUCACCUACAUGGUCUGUCAUGAUUCCUCUUUUUUUGAAUAUGAUGGGGUUUUCUAUAAGCAACAGCAGGGAGUUCCAUAGGGAGCCCCAUGGCGGGUAUCUUAGCAGAGUUGGUUGUCAGAGAAGUUGAACAACAACUAAGCCCCAGUCUAGUUAAUGAGUUCCUGCUCUGCUCC